rnacentral:rRNA from 1 species
AACUGAUAAUCUUGAGUGUAACUGAUGUGGGCGGAAUGUGUCAAGUAGCGGUGAAAUGCAUAGAUAUGACACAGAACACCGAUAGCGAAGGCAGCUCACAAAAUUACAACUGACACUGAGGCACGAAAGCGUGGGUAUCAAACAGGAUUAGAUACCCUGGUAGUCCACGCUGUAAACGAUGAUCACUAGCUGUUUGCGAUACAUUGUAAGUGGUUAAGCGAAAGCGAUAAGUGAUCCACCUGGGGAGUACGUCGGCAACGAUGAAACUCAAAGGAAUUGACGGGGGCCCGCACAAGCGGAGGAGCAUGUGGUUUAAUUCGAUGAUACGCGAGGAACCUUACCUGGGCUUGAACGUAUGGUGCAUGAGUGUGAAAGCACUCUUUCCUUCACAGGACUUCAUACGAGGUGCUGCAUGGUUGUCGUCAGCUCGUGCCGUGAGGUGUUAGGUUAAGUCCUGCAACGAGCGCAACCCCUGUUUUUAGUUGCCAGCAGGUUAUGCUGGGCACUCUAGAAAGACUGCCUGCGCAAGCAGAGAGGAAGGUGGGGAUGACGUCAAAUCAGCACGGCCCUUACGUCCAGGGCUACACACGUGCUACAAUGGUCGGCACAGAGGGUGGCUACCCGGCAACGGGAUGCUAAUCUCCAAAGUCGAUCUUAGUUCGGAUCGAAGUCUGCAACUCGACUUCGUGAAGUUGGAUUCGCUAGUAAUCGUAUAUCAGCCAUGAUACGGUGAAUACGUUCCCGGGCCUUGUACACACCGCCCGUCAAGCCAUGGAAGUUGGGGGUACCUGAAGUCGAUUACCGUAA